rnacentral:lncRNA from 1 species
AAAAAUUGCAAAAGCUCCCUUCUCUCUCUCACAAACCGACCUCUUCUCUCACUCACACUCACCAUUGCAAAAUUUUCAUUUCUCAUCCAUUCAAGCUAGGAUUUGUCUCUUUGGAGCUAGGAACUUGCAAGGAAAUCACUCCUCUUAAGGUAACUCAUCUUCUCCAUGCUUUUGUUUAGCUAAAAGUCAUGAUUCCAAGAAUAUUUUAGAGAUUUUCAUGACUUUGUUCUUGAGUAAUUUUUUUUCUAGAAUAAGUUUUGGGUGUUUGUGGUUCUAGGGAAGUGUUUAGGAGUAGUUUAUAAGCUUGUUUAAGCUUGGCACAUGUUGGUUUCCAUGGUGAUUAAGANNNNNNNNNNNNNNUGGGUGUUAGGAAAUGGCUUUGUUUUUGUGAAACAAGGAAAAAUAUUUUUGUGUGUGUUCUUGAGGACUUUAUGAACAAAUUUUUGGAAAUUCUUGUUUUGACCCUCAAAAUGAAUUGGUUGAUCAUUUCCCUAGGCUUGUGAACUAAUAGAGGCUUGCUAGGUAUUGGCAUUGGAAAAAUUUUGGGUGUGGUUCAAAUUUUCAAAACUUUUGGUCAUGUGAAAUUUUGGAAAAGUGUGGGAGAGGUUUCAAAAUUGGUUAGGGCUUUGGGGGAGGCACAAUUAUGGCCUAGGGUGAAUUACCAUGCAAAAAGUUUGGGGUAAAAAUGGUUUUGGUGUUGUAUGUGUCUUAAAGAACCAAAAAUUGAAUUUUUCGUAAUUAGAGGCUUUGCCCGGAAAAUUUUUGGGGGCUUAGAUUAGUGACUCGGG